UCCUACGGGAGGCAGCAGUAGGGAAUCUUCCGCAAUGGACGAAAGUCUGACGGAGCAACGCCGCGUGAGUGAUGAAGGCUUUCGGGUCGUAAAACUCUGUUGUUAGGGAAGAACAAGUGCUAGUUGAAUAAGCUGGCACCUUGACGGUACCUAACCAGAAAGCCACGGCUAACUACGUGCCAGCAGCCGCGGUAAUACGUAGGUGGCAAGCGUUAUCCGGAAUUAUUGGGCGUAAAGCGCGCGCAGGUGGUUUCUUAAGUCUGAUGUGAAAGCCCACGGCUCAACCGUGGAGGGUCAUUGGAAACUGGGAGACUUGAGUGCAGAAGAGGAAAGUGGAAUUCCAUGUGUAGCGGUGAAAUGCGUAGAGAUAUGGAGGAACACCAGUGGCGAAGGCGACUUUCUGGUCUGUAACUGACACUGAGGCGCGAAAGCGUGGGGAGCAAACAGGAUUAGAUACCCUGGUAGUCCACGCCGUAAACGAUGAGUGCUAAGUGUUAGAGGGUUUCCGCCCUUUAGUACUGAAGUUAACGCAUUAAGCACUCCGCCUGGGGAGUACGGCCGCAAGGCUGAAACUCAAAGGAAUUGACGGA
rnacentral:rRNA from 1 species